GGAGAGAUGCGAGAGCGGUUGAAUCGGGCGGUCUCGAAAACCGUUGAACCCUCACGGGUUCCGGGGGUUCGAAUCCCCCUCUCUCCG
rnacentral:tRNA from 1 species